rnacentral:rRNA from 1 species
GACGAACGCUGGCGGCGUGCCUAAUACAUGCAAGUAGAACGCUGAAGGAGGAGCUUGCUUCUCCGGAUGAGUUGCGAACGGGUGAGUAACGCGUAGGUAACCUGCCUGGUAGCGGGGGAUAACUAUUGGAAACGAUAGCUAAUACCGCAUAACAGUAGAUAUUGCAUGAUAUCUGCUUGAAAGGUGCAAUUGCAUCACUACCAGAUGGACCUGCGUUGUAUUAGCUAGUUGGUGAGGUAACGGCUCACCAAGGCGACGAUACAUAGCCGACCUGAGAGGGUGAUCGGCCACACUGGGACUGAGACACGGCCCAGACUCCUACGGGAGGCAGCAGUAGGGAAUCCUCGGCAAUGGACGGAAGUCUGACCGAGCAACGCCGCGUGAGUGAAGAAGGUUUUCGGAUCGUAAAGCUCUGUUGUAAGAGAAGAACGAGUGUGAGAGUGGAAAGUUCACACUGUGACGGUAUCUUACCAGAAAGGGACGGCUAACUACGUG